rnacentral:rRNA from 1 species
CACAUGACUCUCGGCAACGGAUAUCUCGGCUCUCGCACCGAUGAAGAACGUAGCAAAAUGCGAUACCUGGUGUGAAUUGCAGAAUCCCGUGAACCAUCGAGUUUUUGAACGCAAGUUGCGCCUGAGGCCUUUUGGUGUCGGGCACGUCUGCCUGGGCGUCAUGU